GCACGUCUGUGUUCUUACGAGAUACAUUAAUGCACAUUUACGCAAUCAUUCGUACUCGCUCAAAGUAUAAUUUUAUUAAUGUGUGCAGCAGAUUUGUUUUAUCGCGUUAAUAUAUACAUGUAAACUUCUUAUCAUUCUAUUCAAUGUGCAGCUUUCGGCUUUGCCGAAGAUGGAAUAAGUAGAACGAUGCUCUAACUAAACUUCGAGUAAUCCAGAGAAUAGCGAGAAUGGUAACCGCCAGAACUGCGUAAAC